rnacentral:lncRNA from 1 species
GUAAUUCAAGAAUGAUGCUCUACUCUUAUUGGCCUGAUGUAAGAUCCUGGAAUAUAUCAAAUUCUUUCUUCUUUCCCAGUUAGAAUUUCCACAUGCUACCCCAGCUGCCAUGAAUGCCUUCUUUCCUUCUCUCUUUUUAUUUUUUGUACUGGGGAUUAAACCCAGGGGCACUUAAACACUGAGACAAUCCCUAGUCCUUUUCAUUUUGAGACAGGGUCUAGCUAAGUUGCUUAGGGCCUUGCUAAAUUGCUGAGGCUGGACUUGAACUUGCAAUCCUCCUGCCUCGGCCUCUCAAAUCACUGGGCUUACAGGUGUGCACCACUAUGCCCAGUUAUUCUAUAUUCUUUUAAAGCAAUACUAAUCCCAUCAGGAAAUAAUUAUCAGGGUAUAAUGAUUCCUAACAAUUAUCUUAACAAUUUAUUAUUAUUAUUAUCAGUAAAUAAUUUCCUGAAGUGGAAACUAAACAGAACAAUUAAAUGCAGGGUUUUAUUUCCUGUUCUCUAUAUUGACUGGCUUUAAAGAAAAAAAAAAAAAACACCUUGGUUUUAUUUAUUUAUUUUUAUGUUGUGCUGAAGAUGGAACCCAGUGCCUCACAUGUGCUAGGCAAGCGCUCUACCACUGAGUCAUAACCCCAGCCCUUGACUGGCUCUUUAUACUGCUUGUAUCAUUAAUCUACAUUCAAAACUUGAAGUCUCACUAAAUUUUCAAUAAACUGUACUGAAUUAAAAAACUGCCAAACUCAUAUUCUAGCAAGCAUAAUAAUGGUCCAUUAUGGCCUCUACUUUUCAUUACCAAAAGCAUAUGUAGGGGCUGGGGCUGUAGCUCAGUGGCAGAGCACUUGCCUAGCAUGCAUGAGGCACUGGGUUCAAUCUUCAGCACCACAUAAAAAUAAAAAAUAAAGGCAUUCUGUCU